AUUGAACGCUGGCGGCAGGCCUAACACAUGCAAGUCGAACGGUAACAGGAAGAAGCUUGCUUCUUUGCUGACGAGUGGCGGACGGGUGAGUAAUGUCUGGGAAACUGCCUGAUGGAGGGGGAUAACUACUGGAAACGGUAGCUAAUACCGCAUAACGUCGCAAGACCAAAGAGGGGGACCUUCGGGCCACAUGCCAUAGGAUGAACCCAAGUGGGAUUAGGUAGUUGGUGAGGUAAAGGCUCACCAAGCCGACGAUCUCUAGCUGGUCUGAGAGGAUGACCAGCCACACUGGGACUGAGACACGGCCCAGACUCCUACGGGAAGCAGCAGUGGGGGAAUAUUGCGCAAUGGGGGCGAACCCUGACGCAGCCAUGCG
rnacentral:rRNA from 1 species